AGUGAACGCUGGCGGUAGGCCUAACACAUGCAAGUCGAACGGCAGCACCGUAAGAGCUUGCUCUUACGGGUGGGGAGCGGCGGAGGGGGGAGGAAUACAUCGGAAUCUACUUUUUGGUGGGGGUUAACGUAGGGAAACUUACCCUACUACCGAAUACGACCUACGGGAGAAAGCAGGGGAUCUUCGGACCUUGCGCGAUUGAAUGACCCGAUGUCGGAUUAGCUAGUUGGCGGGGUAAAGGCCCACCAAGGCGACGAUCCGUAGCUGGUCUGAGAGGAUGAUCAGCCACACUGGAACUGAGACACGGUCCAGACUCCUACGGGAGGCAGCAGUGGGGAAUAUUGGACAAUGGGCGCAAGCCUGAUCCAGCCAUACCGCGUGGGUGAAGAAGGCCUUCGGGUUGUAAAGCCCUUUUGUUGGGAAAGAAAAGCAGCAGGUUAAUACCCCGCUGUUCUGACGGUACCCAAAGAAUAAGCACCGGCUAACUUCGUG
rnacentral:rRNA from 1 species